GAUGAACGCUAGCUACAGGCUUAACACAUGCAAGUCGAGGGGAAACGAUAGAGAAAGCUUGCUUUUUCUAGGCGUCGACCGGCGCACGGGUGAGUAACGCGUAUCCAACCUGCCCAUCACUUGGGGAUAACCUUGCGAAAGUAAGACUAAUACCCAAUGACGUCUCUAGAAGACAUCUGAAGGAGAUUAAAGAUUUAUCGGUGAUGGAUGGGGAUGCGUCUGAUUAGCUUGUUGGCGGGGUAACGGCCCACCAAGGCGACGAUCAGUAGGGGCUCUGAGAGGAAGGCCCCCCCACAUUGGAACUGAGACACGGUCCAAACUCCUACGGGAGGCAGCAGUGAGGAAUAUUGGUCAAUGGACGAGAGUCUGAACCAGCCAAGUAGCGUGCAGGAUGACGGCCCUAUGGGUUGUAAACUGCUUUUAUAAGGGAAUAAAGUGAGUCUCGUGAGACUUUUUGCAUGUACCUUAUGAAUAAGGACCGGCUAAUUCCGUGCCAGCAGCCG
rnacentral:rRNA from 1 species